rnacentral:rRNA from 1 species
CCUACGGGUGGCUGCAGUGGGGAAUUUUGGACAAUGGGCGCAAGCCUGAUCCAGCCAUUCCGCGUGAGUGAAGAAGGCCUUCGGGUUGUAAAGCUCUUUCGCAAGGGAAGAAAACUUAUCCUCUAACAUAGGAUGAGGUUGACGGUACCUUGAUAAGAAGCACCGGCUAACUACGUGCCAGCAGCCGCGGUAAUACGUAGGGUACGACCGUUAAUAAAGCGUACUGGGGCUGUAUUGUGCGUCAGAUGUUAAAUCCCCGAGCUCAACUUGGGAACUGCGUUUGAAACUACAAGACUAGAAUAGGUCAGAGGGGGGUAGAAUUCCACGUGUAGCAGUGAAAUGCGUAGAGAUGUGGAGGAAUAUCAAUGGCGAAGGCAGCCCCCUGGGAUCAUAUUGACGCUCAUGCACGAAAGCGUGGGGAGCAAACAGGAUUAGAUACCCGAGUAGUC